UUGGAUCAAAGAUAUUUGGAACCACUGUGACACAACAACCGCGUCGGAUUUAAAAUACACUUUCAACAAUUCCUUUUUGUUUAUACAAAUCUUUUUUUUGUCUUUUUUUUUGGGAGUUUGUACAAAUUUGUGUGCUUUUCUUCAAGCUUCCCGGAUUCUCAAGGUUCACUGCUUGUAUUGUCCCUUGUAAUUUCUUGUUCAUUAUCUUGAUAAUAAUAUUUACAUUUCUAGAUAGCAAAAGAAAAAAAACACUUCCAAAUGUUU
rnacentral:lncRNA from 1 species